rnacentral:piRNA from 1 species
GUGAGUUCAAGGCCAGCCUGUUCA